rnacentral:lncRNA from 1 species
AAAAAUUUAAAAAUAUGAAAGCCCCUGGUGAGUGUAGGAAUCUAACCCUGGUCAACACUGGCUGACAGAUCAACUAUGGUUGACGUCUACAGAUGAGAAGGGUUAGUUAGUGACAAUCAGUGUGUAACGCGGUCGGGCACGCGAGUGGUGGCGGCAAUAAAUAUGAUUAUUAGCCGCCAGUGAUUUGUUUUAUUUUUAAUCCGGGGUAUUUACCUGGCUUGGUGACUACAUUGGCGACGAGGAGAAAACAUAUUUUGUUUCAUUAGCAACAGGUCACAGGAGGAGGAGGUUUUGCCAGCACACGUAGUUCGUUCGGAGAGGUCUUACUGCGUUAGGCCGAAUUCCGCGUGAACAACACACAGAGGAGAAGGAUGAACCACGAGCUAGUGCAGCUCAACGGCAAACCGGGUUUUAAGAGAGUCACCUGGGCUUACCGGAUCCUUUGGGUCGUGCGCAUGGCAAGAGAGCCAGGCGGGCGGGGUGCCGACCUGGACGGAGUGUGUGCGGCCGGAGCCGAGUUGGCUGGUGGCUCACCUGGAGACUGCUGAUGAACUAAGGGAUGUCCUUAAGAUUUGAAGGAGGAUGGUUGCAAGAUAGGGUUCUGUUUGGGGGUGCGAAGUUGUCUUCGUAUUCCAGAAUUGUCAGGUUGACGGACCCAAUUCCGUUAUAAUUUGAUUGUACAAAUAGUUAGGUGUUGUGCUAAGUAAUUUUGGAUACGCUGCUUUAUGAGGUUGAUUAAAUGCUGGGGAAUGUGUGAAGGAGUAUUGAUGCAGGGGGCUCUGAUUGAUAGGCACCGUGAAAUUGUUAAUAAUCGGUAACCCCAUAAGACAAUGAAUGAGAAAUAAUUUAUAUUCAAUUCAUGUUUAUUAGUUGCACUUAUCAUAAUACAUUUUGCCUAACAUAUUACAAAAUGCAGAGUUUUGGAGAUACUUACAGGUACAAAAUAAUUCAGAUACAAUCAUUGGACGAAAUAAGUUCAGUAAUUUCAAUCAAUUAAGCGAGAGCAGAUAAAACUGUUUAAAACAACUGUUACUUUUGCUAGGGGAGAAGAAAAAGGAUAGGAAAGCUUAAGUUUAUAUCACAGAAAAUUUGUCAGUUAGUUAAUGAAGGCUAAGACUUUAACUGCAGGGCAUAGGUACUUUCCCAUCAGCUCUUGCAGCGCAAAGAACUGCUCCAGCUUGUUUCGGCAAAUAAUUUAUUUGAGCGAGAAUUUUUUAGAAAGAGGCUGAAACAAGUGUCUUAUAAAAUCUAAUAUUAUUUGCAUUGGAAUCUAUAAAAAAAAUACUAUCUGAAAAUGCUGCCUACAAGAUUUUAGACUCAUUAAUUUAUUGAGUAAAUUUGCUCAAAUUAUAGGAAAAUAGGGAAACGCUUAGCAUUCUAUUAACUUUAAAUUAAAUUGUUUUAAGUAAAGGAGGAGGUAGUACUGGAUCGAUUGGAUAGUGGUUAACUGUAGUGAAUUAUGGAUUUACAAUUACAAGAUUAAUAAAUGUGACGGAGCAACAAUUAAAUUAAACAGCUAAGAAAGGAGAGUGAAAGGACAAAACUUCAUUAAGUGUAAUGGCUUAGUUCAAAGUUCAAAGGACGUGACAAGAGAUUAUACUGUAAACAUAAAUGCUCGUUUGACUCAGCAAAAGAUAUAAGAUUAUAAUACUAUUGUUAUCAACAAAUACUAGAUUAAAAAUAAAUCCACUCGUGUGUUCAGAUCAGGGCAAUUAUGAGGGCAAUCUAGUUUGCUAAACUGUAGAAUUAUCAAUUGUGAAGUAUCUAUCAUUUUCAAGGAAGAGAGGGAUGUAGGAAUCUAACCCUGGUCAACACUGGCUGACAGAUCAACUAUGGUUGACGUCUACAGAUGAGAAGGGUUAGUUAGUGACAAUCAGUGUGUAACGCGGUCGGGCACGCGAGUGGUGGCGGCAAUAAAUAUGAUUAUUAGCCGCCA